rnacentral:rRNA from 1 species
CCCCGAAGAGGGGGAUAACCACUGGAAACGGUGGCUAAUACCCCAUGCGGUCCCGCAUUCGGUUGCGGGGUUAAAGGCUCCGGCGCUUCGGGAGGGGCCUGCGGCCUAUCAGCUAGUUGGUAGGGUAACGGCCUACCAAGGCUAUGACGGGUAGCUGGUCUGAGAGGACGGUCAGCCACACUGGCACUGAGACACGGGCCAGACUCCUACGGGAGGCAGCAGUGAGGAAUAUUGCGCAAUGGGGGAAACCCUGACGCAGCAACGCCGCGUGGGCGAAGAAGGUCUUCGGAUUGUAAAGCCCUUUUCUCCCGGACGAGGAAGGACGGUACGGGAGGAAUAAGCGUCGGCUAACUACGUGCCAGCAGCCGCGGUAAAACGUAGGACGCAAGCGUUAUCCGGAAUUAUUGGGCGUAAAGGGCGUCUAGGCGGUGUUCUAAGUUGGGCGUGAAAUCUUCCGGCUUAACCGGAAGGGUGCGUUCAAUACUGGGACACUUGAGGGCAGCAGAGGGAGGUGGAAUUCCCGGUGUAGCGGUGGAAUGCGUAGAUAUCGGGAGGAACACCAGUGGCGAAGGCGGCCUCCUGGGCUGUACCUGACGCUGAAGCGCGAAAGCGUGGGGAGCGAACGGGAUUAGAUACCCCGGUAGUCCACGCCGUAAACGAUGGAUACUAGGUGUUGGUGGUAUUGACCCCAUCAGUGCCGCAGCUAACGCGUUAAGU